AGUGAACGCUGGCGGCGUGCCUAAUACAUGCAAGUCGAACGCGAAAGUCCUUCGGGAUGAGUAAAGUGGCGCACGGGUGAGUAAUGGUUGAGAACAUGCCCUGAGGUGGGGAAUAACAGUUGGAAACGACUGCUAAUACCGCAUGGUAUCGCAAGAUUAAAGGUGGGGACCGCAAGGCCUACCGCCACAGGAUUGGCUCAACUCCCAUUAGCUAGUUGGUAGGGUAAUGGCCUACCAAGGCAACGAUGGGUAUGUGGUCUUAGAGGAUGAUCACACACACUGGAACUGAGACACGGUCCAGACUCCUACGGGAGGCAGCAGUAGGGAAUAUUGCACAAUGGAGGAAACUCUGAUGCAGCAACGCCGCGUGAGUGAAGAAGGCCCUUGGGUCGUAAAGCUCUUUAGCCUGGAAAGAAGUGCCAUCCCGUGAACAAUAGGGUGGUGUGACGGUACCAGGAGAAUAAGGACCGGCUAAUUUCGUGCCAGCCGCCGCCGUAAUAC
rnacentral:rRNA from 1 species